GGGUCCGGCUAGUCCACACAGCAUUCCGGGACGGGAGAAAAACGUGCUUUGGUUGAUUGGCAUUUCUGUAAAUCAAUGACAAUCAUCUUGGCCGGUGCUAAGCGCCAAACAGAGCAGUGGUACCGCUGCAAAAUAGCCUCGGGAAGGAGCUCGUUUUGGUGGAACGUGUGUACGUCCA